CCUACGGGUGGCAGCAGUGGGGAAUAUUGCACAAUGGGGGAAACCCUGAUGCAGCGAAGCCGCGUGAGUGAGGAAGUAUUUCGGUAUGUAAAGCUCUUUCAGCAGGGAAGAAAAUGAUGGUACCUGACACAGAAGCCACGGCUAACUACGUGCCACGAGCCGCGGUCAUACGGGGGGGGCAAGCGUUAUCCGGAUUUACUGGGGGUAAAGGGAGCGUAGACGGCUAAUUUAGUCAGAAGUGAAAACCCAGGGUUGAAAUUUGGGACUGCUUUUGAUACUGAGUAGCUAGAGUGCAGGAGAGGUAUGCGGAAUUCCUGGUGUAGCGGUGAAAUGCGUAGAUAUUAGGAGGAACACC
rnacentral:rRNA from 1 species